AGAGUUUGAUUCUGGCUCAGGACGAACGCUGGCGGCGUGCUUAACACAUGCAAGUCGAACGGAAAGGCCCUUCGGGGUACUCGAGUGGCGAACGGGAGUAACACGUGGGUGAUCUGCCCUGCACUUCGGGAUAAGCCUGGGAAACUGGGUCUAAUACCGGAUAGGACUACGGCCUGCAUGGGUUGUGGUGGAAAGCUUUUGCGGUGUGGGAUGGGCCCGCGGCCUAUCAGCUUGUUGGGGGGGUGAUGGCCUACCAAGGCGACGACGGGUAGCCGGCCUGAGAGGGUGACCGGCCACACUGGGACUGAGAUACGGCCCAGACUCCUACGGGAGGCAGCAGUGGGGAAUAUUGCACAAUGGGCGCAAGCCUGAUGCAGCGACGCCGCGUGGGGGAUGACGGCCUUCGGGUUGUAAACCUCUUUCAGUACCGACGAAGCGCAAGUGACGGUAGGUACAGAAGAAGGACCGGCCAACUACGUGCCAGCAGCCGCGGUAAUACGUAGGGUCCGAGCGUUGUCCGGAAUUACUGGGCGUAAAGAGCUCGUAGGUGGUUUGUCGCGUUGUUCGUGAAAACUCACAGCUCAACUGUGGGCGUGCGGGCGAUACGGGCAGACUGGAGUACUGCAGGGGAGACUGGAAUUCCUGGUGUAGCGGUGGAAUGCGCAGAUAUCAGGAGGAACACCGGUGGCGAAGGCGGGUCUCUGGGCAGUAACUGACGCUGAGGAGCGAAAGCGUGGGGAGCGAGCAGGAUUAGAUACCCUGGUAGUCCACGCCGUAAACGGUGGGUACUAGGUGUGGGUUUCCUUCCUUGGGAUCCGUGCCGUAGCUAACGCAUUAAGUACCCCGCCUGGGGAGUACGGCCGCAAGGCUAAAACUCAAAGAAAUUGACGGGGGCCCGCACAAGCGGCGGAGCAUGUGGAUUAAUUCGAUGCAACGCGAAGAACCUUACCUGGGUUUGACAUGCACAGGACGUGCCUAGAGAUAGGUAUUCCCUUGUGGCCUGUGUGCAGGUGGUGCAUGGCUGUCGUCAGCUCGUGUCGUGAGAUGUUGGGUUAAGUCCCGCAACGAGCGCAACCCUUAUCUUAUGUUGCCAGCGCGUUAUGGCGGGGACUCGUGAGAGACUGCCAGGGUCAACUCGGAGGAAGGUGGGGAUGACGUCAAGUCAUCAUGCCCCUUAUGUCCAGGGCUUCACACAUGCUACAAUGGCCGGUACAAAGUGCUGCGAUGCCGUGAGGUGGAGCGAAUCCUUUCAAAGCCGGUCUCAGUUCGGAUCGGGGUCUGCAACUCGACCCCGUGAAGUCGGAGUCGCUAGUAAUCGCAGAUCAGCAACGCUGCGGUGAAUACGUUCCCGGGCCUUGUACACACCGCCCGUCACGUCAUGAAAGUCGGUAACACCCGAAGCCGGUGGCCUAACCCCUUGUGGGAGGGAGCCGUCGAAGGUGGGAUCGGCGAUUGGGACGAAGUCGUAACAAGGUA
rnacentral:rRNA from 1 species